UGUAUCUAAUGAUCCAGCUGUGCCCCGCCUGAUGAUGAUGUUACUGGCUAUGUUUAUACUGUGUGUAUACUGGCUGUGUGUAUACUGGCUGUGUGUAUACUGGCUGUGUGUGUACGUACACUGGCUGUGUGUAUGGAUUAUCACUGUGCAGAUACAAACAAGGACCAGGGCAGUCGACUGCGAGGCCUAUGGAGGUUGUCUAUGAAAGACUCAAAGCAGAUAACCAAAGGGCCCGUGUGAAAGCCUGGGAGUCAGUCAUUUUCAGAGUGCGCACAUCUACUCACUGGCAUGCAAAGUGAACAAAGCGACUACUGAAACAACUUCAAAGUGUUGGCAUUGAAAAAGAGAUGACAGUUUUUCUCAUACACAUACAAGCAUUUAUUUUUUACUAAUGUUGUCAAUUUUCAAAGGUGUUCUCAAGACAGCUAUCAACAGUGAAUGCAUUUUUCUAAAUGUAGUUUGUUCUCAAAAUGCAUUCAUUAAAACUACAGUAAAAAGUU